AAAGUCGUAACAAGGUUUACCGAUGUCAGGUGGAACCACUGCGGAAAGGAUCAUUACAUUUAGUAGCCUAGCUGCUAUCAGUGGGGUUCGUUAGCCUGCAUAGCUUAAUCGCUGAUGAGCAGCAGACCCCCUGUUUGUACCCUUGUUUUUUGCGUACCAAGGUUUCCCUCGGCGGGCUUGCUCGCCGGAUGGACAAUACUAUAACCUUUUUAAUAUUCCAUCAGCGUCUGAAAAAACUUGAAUAAUUACAA
rnacentral:misc_RNA from 1 species